rnacentral:rRNA from 1 species
UACGUAGGGGCGAGCGUUAUCCAGAUUUACUGGGCGUAAGCGCGUGUAGGCGGCUGGUUAGGUGUGAUGUGAAAUCCUCGGGCUCAACCCGAGAACUGCAUUGCAAAACCGGCCUGGGCUAGAGUGCAGGAGAGGGAAGCGGAAUUCCAGGUGUAGCGGUGAAAUGACGUAGAUAUCUGGAGGAACACCAGUGGCGAAGGCGGCUUCCUGGCCUGUAACU